ACAUGCAUACCUCAGACACAGCAAUAGUUGCCAUGUUGUAUCCACAAGCUAUUGAUGCUCAGCCUCAUUGUAGAAUGGUGAUGCUCUACUUCUCAUGAGAUAUAAAUUCAAUAUCUUCUGCUCCUUUGAAGUAUUUCCUUUGUUCACUUUCAGUGAUACUAUCUCUACUGUCUUCACAUACACUUAUUUACACUGCUUCUUUCUAAUCUUCUUGUGCUAGUUACUUUCUUCACUUUCUUUUUUAAUAUAAAUGACAUGUUUUCUUAAUGAACUUGUUUAUGAAAUCUCUUCAAAUCCAUUAAGAAGAGCUGAUGUGUCUGUGUGACGGGUUAGCACCCAUUAGUAGUUAACUUACACAACCACCUCAUGUAUCCACACAUACAUACAAUCCCACUGUAAGAGUGUUGACUACAGGUAUGAUUAGAAGAGUAGUGUGAAGUACACAC
rnacentral:sRNA from 1 species